UCUUUCAACUUUCCCUUUCAACAAUUAGGGUUUCUUUCUACUUUCCCUUUUGAAAAGCUCAAUCACUGUCACCACCCAGAGGUAGAGGAAAGAUACACCAUCGUCGUCGUUGAUUGCUCUGGUCCAACCUCUCGUUCGCCGUCGUCAUCUUCAUUGCACUACUGUCAUCUUCAUCACGCCACCGUCGUCCAACCAAGACAAGUCUUCCAGGGAAGAGAUAGAGAGCAUUGUCGGAGCAAGUGAUGGACCGAGCAGAAAAUUGAAGCACAAAAUUUGUGUUCGUAGAGUUACAAAUUAUGCUAAGAAAAUUACAAACACUUACACAGAUAGAGAAAGAGAGAGAUAUAAAUAGAUACAGAAGCAUUGGUGGAUUUUUGUUCCCCAUUAAUAUAAAUGGAUUCAGAAUACCAACGAAGGUUUUGGAACUCGGAGAUAUCAAGGGAAAAGGUUAAUUGUAGAUCUAACUUCUGGAAAGCCGUGUCGGAUAUUAAGUUCAAGCUUACUCUAGAUCAAAUAAAGAAGUUCAAGGAUAACUAUUUAGGCAAAUUUUUGAAGGCCAACGAUAUACAAUUUAGUGGCCACAUUGUGAACAGCAUGCUAUGUAGGCAAUGUGUUUGCGACGAUAAGGAUUCUAUGGUAUUCAAUUUUGGAGGUCGUGGUGCUAGAUUUACACGGAGAGACUUCGCCAUAAUUACAAGUCUAUGGUUUGGUUACGAACGCAAUAGGCAGGUUAACAUCUCUUCAUGUAUUAGUGACAUGUAUUUUGGGGGAAAGCGAAAGGUCUCUAACUCGGAGAUAACCGAUGUGUUCAUGACCACAUAGUGUCAAGACAAUGAUAAAGCCAACGAUAAUAGAUUGAAGUUGGCGUUAUUAUAUUUCCUAGAGACAGUUCUUCUAGGCAAAGAAAGCAUGGCCACCGCACCCUAUAAUCACUUGGAGAUGGUGGACGAUUUAGAGUACUUCAAUAACUAUCCAUAGGGUACUUUAUCAUACACCACCACCAUUAGAUCGUUGAAGAGUACUUUUGAGCAUAGAGCGUCCAUGGCUUUAAACAAGUCAAAGAGUUAUAGUCUUUGUGGGUUUCCUUUGGCUUUCAUGAUUUGGGGUUUUGAGACAAUUCCUUCGUUAUGUCAAGCAUUUGGAAAAAAGUUGCCGAACAUGGCAUUCCCUCGAAUUCUUAAUUGGCAUAUUUCACAAGUGCCAAGAUUUGAGAAGGCCACUAAACUCUUCCAUCGUCA